CAGGAGAAGAUGAUAGGCGUUCCGGAAUUACAAGGAAACUAUGAAGUUCACUAUUUAGGGAAAGUAGAGUUUCCCUUUCUGUUAUUAUACAUCAAUUUCCUUUAAGUGAACAUAAUUUGAAUCUGUCCUUGUUGACAAAUUUCUACUUGAACCUUUUUUACUUGUUGAUUCAAUGUUGAACAUUAUCUACUUGAAAGGAUUUAAAAGGAUGUUUCUGAUUAGGUUUAAAGUAUUUCUUAGCUACAAUACAGGAGGUCAAUAGGCUUUGACAUUUGUAGUCAUUCAGAAUCCUCAAAGUCAACACAAGCCAACAGGUCUAUUUCCUUUAACUUUCUAAAGGUGAUUGGUUUAAGAAUAUAGCUGCAUUACAGCCUGCAAUGUUGUAUAAUCAAAAUUAGUGAUAUGGGAUAUAGAACAUAAUCUUUCUCCAACAAGCCAUGUUUUCUUGCCCAGAAGCAUUUUCUUUGAUAGAGCAAUUGGUUUAUUCAUUCAAAUCGUAGGGUCUUAAGACAGAAAAGGAACUUUAAUGUUCACCCACCACAUGCUACUAUAUCUAGAACAAUGGUUUCCAAUCCUGGAUGCUCAGAAUUUCCUGGGGGAGCUUUUAAAAAUUGCAUAUGUCUGGGCUCCACUGCUGAACUACCAAAUCCUAAUCUGUGGUCGUUUUAACUGAGGCAUCAGUGUUUUUAAAUCCAGCCUCUCUCCCUCCAAGACGCUGAACAACAGCCAGGAUUGGUGACCACUGACUUGGAAUUCGGAUUCACCUCUACUAUUGAAACCUUGUUACUGAGCAGUCAGGUUCAAGCAAUGUGACUCAUAUAUAAAAGAUACAAUUUGUAAUAUGACCUCUGAGGCAGUAUUUAUUUGCUUUCCUGUUUCCGGUACAAGAUGAUUUUUGUUUUUCUUUUCUCUACAGCCAGGAGAAUAGAAUUCGACUCAGCAAGAAUAAGGUCUUAGUUGAGCGGAGAGAGAGGAUAAGAGGCAAGACACCCCUGAUACCACCCUUUCCCUCUCUGUUCCAGGGAAAACUGGUAACAUCCUAUGUAACCCACUGGGAUGUGAUCAGAAACUAGAGAGCUGACCCACUAGAUCCUAAAGGACUUUGUGCCUUCUGACAGCCAAAUCAUUGGCUUGAGCAACAAUGUACUUCCGCCUGAGGAGUGGGCUACAGAGUCACUGCCAGCCUGUAAACCCUGAAGCAUUGUACCAACUUAAAUUUAUAUCCAGUAUAGUGGAUUUACUUAUUGGCACCUGCAAUAUGUACUUCUUAAGACUCAGAAAUCAUGUUGUAGCCAUUAACUUAAUGAGAUAAUGAAUAAUUAUUGAGCUUCUACUUUUGCCUGACACUGUGGUAGGCAUUUUUGUGAACAGAGAAUAGAAAUUAAGCCCUGAUUUCAGAGAACUUCUGUGUUAUGCACCUGUGUAAAAUAAUGGGAAAAAAAGUGAGUUGAACUCUGAUUAGUGAGCAGAGAUCUCUGGGACUUUGGACAAUGAUCAAAACUGAAAGUACAUAUAGCAGAAUAAAAAUAAUAGAAUUGGACCAAAACAAAGACAUAUUAGAAAGGAUCUUGAGAAUCCAACAGAAGAAGUUACACUUGCUGCAUUGAGUCAGUGGGGGAUUUGGUCCAAUGCCCCAAUGAUACACGAAGGGGUAGUGAAACUUGAGGAUAGGGUAGGGCUGUGUGAGGAAGGAAGGCUGUUGACGUGACUCAGGCAGAGGUAAUCACAUGAUGCUGUGGCAAUGGUAUUCCAUUUUGAAUGGGAAAAAAAUGAUAGAAUUAGUCUUUGGGAAUGGAGAACAAAGAAUAAUGAGUCAAAGGAGAUACGAGAUUUUUAGAGUAAAUGAGUGUAUAGACAGUCAUGGUGGGAAAGAACUCAAAAGUCUGCUUUUAGACAUACAGAGUUUUAAGCCAUACUAGGAUAUCUAAAUAAAAAUUUCCAGCUGGCAGUCAAAGAUGAGAGGCCGGAGUCUGAAUAAAAGAAGAGAUCUUGAGUUUUAGAUUAAGAAAGAUCUACAAGGAAUAUAGUCUGAAAUGAGAGGACUGAUGGAUUCUUUAAGAAUGAAAACCUAAGAAAAACAGAACAAGAGAUUGCAGUCUGGGGAAUAGCCUCCAGAGAAGAGAUCAUCAAUAAGUUCUAGAUGUUUGUGAGAGAUGUGCUGGUGUAGUUAUUUAUAAGUGUUAAUAACUCCUAUGUAGUUUUAGUGUGAUUGAAAUCUCAGACUUUUGCCCAGAGCAACUCCAUCUUGUGCUAUCGAUUCGAAAUUUUCCACACAGAAUAAAGUACCUUUUGCACAUUAUCUUAUGUUGACCAAUUAAUUAGCUCUAACAGGACGUUUUUUAAGGGGAGAAAUGUAUACAAAAUGGGGAGAGGCAGUUACUUUUUUAAACUGUGACCUUUAUUUUUCAUAUUUUAUUCAUCAUUUUUUAGCAGAUAAGGUUAAACAUCUUGUUGUUCAAACUGUAUUACAAAUUUAUUGAAUUUGUGGGAAAAACAUUGAAACUUAACAGUAUUAAGCACUAUAAACAUAUUAUUUAUUUUUAAUCAACAUAUCAUUAUUUGUUCUCCAAUUACCAGUCAGUCAUAGCUCUCUGUAUUAUUCCAGAUUGUGAAAUACAGAGCAAGCCAAGGUGCAUAACAGAGAAUCUAUGUAAUGGAAUUCAACAGGAAAUAGCAGAAAAUAGUCAUUAACUUUCUUUUAGACUUUAAAUAAUAUCACUAACUUAUCUGCGCCAAUUUCACCUUAUCUAUAAAACGGGCCUAAUGAGAACUGACACGCUCACCUAAUAGGUUUCUUAUGAAGACUAGAACUAAAAAAUGGAAUAACUUCCUCAUAUAGUUUGGCUAUGUCCCCACUCAAAUCUCAUCUUGAAUUGUAGUUCCCAUAAUUUCUAUGUGUCAUGGGAGCAACUAGGUUGAGAUAGUUGAAUCAUGGGGUCAGUUUCCCCUAUCCUGUUCUUGUGAUAGUGAGUUAGUUCUCAUGAGAUCUGAUGGUUUGAUUAGGAACUGUUCUCCCCUUCACUCAUUUUUCUCCUUUCUGCCAUCAUGUGAAGGACAUGUUUUCUUUCCCUUCUGCCAUGACUGUAUGUUUCCUGAGGCCUCCGCAACCAUGUGGAACUGUGAGUCAAUUGAACCUCUUUUCUUUAUAAAUUAUCCAGUCUCAGCCAGUCCUUUAUAGCAGCAUGAGAAUUAACUAAUAUGCUUUCUAAGCCAUGAAGCCUAUAAGCAUGAAAACCAUUACACUGUAAAUGCUAUGGUCACCAGAAAGAGAUUCAGCUAUUAGCAAAAUGGUAAAAUAAGCAAAGGAGUGUUUGCAGGGCAAAUCCCCAAGCAACUCUGAGGGAUUCUGAUUGAGAGUGUGACUGAGAUUUUCUAAUUUUGAGCUUCCCUCAAAAGGAAGCACUCAGAGAAGGGUUUUUGCUCAGAUUGUUUACUUGGAAAGCACUGCAAGGGAGUGGGAAAGGAAAACAGGGAGGGAGAAGAGUCAUAAAGGUGGCACGAAUGAGGUUACUACUGUGAGCAGCAGAUGCUCCAUCUCACUGGGGACUAUUUGGGACACUCCUGAAAAUUUUCCACUAGGGGGUAAUAAAUGUCAGUUACUUAGGCACCAACUUCCAUUGCACCCUGGGAGGGUUACUCCUAGGGUCUUUGCAUCCAGGCACUUCUAGGCUGUGUUGAAUGACAGAAAGCCAUGGGGAUGUACUUAAAUGUCUGCUGGUGACCUCCAGGAUAGGUCAAUGGCGUUUAGAAGGGGCAUCUGAGCAUCUGCUUUACAGUCAAACAGACUUUGUUUUUAAUCCUGGAUCUCCUCCCCAUAAGCUGUUCUGUGUCAGCAUAUCACUCAUCUGUCUUAGCUUCAAUUUCUCCAGCUGCAAAUUGGAAACAACAGUAGCUACCUUGCAGAAUGUUAAAGACAUUAUUACGCAUUCUUUCAAUGGCAUGGGUAGUAGCCAGUACUAUUUUAAAAUAUCCAAUGUUCUAGGAAAAGGCUCAUGCUAUAAAGGUCUCACUUCAUCAUCCAUGCUGGAGUGGAAUGGUGCAAUCACAGCUCGCUGUGGCCUCGACCUCCCAGGGUCAGGUGAUCCUCCCACCUCAUCUUCCCAAGUAUCUGGGACUACAGGCAAAUUCCACCUCAAAAUCCUUGAACUUUGGCUGGGUGCAGUGGCUCACACCUGUAAUCCUAACACUUUGGAAGGCCGAGACGGGAGGACUGCCUGAGCUCAGAAGUUGGAGACCAGCCAGGCCAACAUGGUGAAACCCUGUCUCUACCAAAAAAUACAAAAAAUUAGCUGGGCAUGGUGGCAGGCACCUGUAAUCUUAGUUACUCCGAAGGCUGAAGAACGAAAAUCACUUGAACUCUGGAGGCAGAGGUUGUGGUGAGCUGAGAUUGCACAAGUGCUGUCCAGCCUGGGUGAUGGAGUGAGACUCUGUAUCCAAAAAAAAAAAAAAAAAAAAAAAUACCUGAACUGUAACUUCUGUCUUCUGAACAUGAAGAGACCGCUGUGCUCUGCUAUGUUUCCCCUUCUGACAUUGCAUUAUCAAAAAUUCAGUCGGGCAAAAAGCCAUAGUGACAAAUGGACUGAACUCUCUUACUUCUCUCCUCUUAAGGAUCACUUUCUUUUGUUUCUUGUUUUCAAAUGUUUGAGAACAGCCAUUUCAUUAUUUGUCCAGCCUUUUACUUAUCUGUAGUUAUUGGGCAAUGUAUUAAUUGGCAGCGCUGUCAUAACACAGUAGCGGAGACUGGUGACUUGAACAACACAAAUUGAUUUUCUCACAGUUCUGGAAGCAAAAAGGCCAAGAUCAAAGUUUGACAGAGUUGGCUUUUUUUGAAGCCUCUCUUCUUGAACGGUAGAUGACCACCUUCUCUCUGUGUACUUACACAGUUGUUUCUGUGUCUGUGUUCUAAUUUCCUCUUCUUGUAAUAUUGGAUUAAAGCCCAGUCUAAUGACAUCAUUUGAACUAGAUAACCUCUUUAAGACCUUAUCUGUAAAUACAGUUACAUUCUGAGCUAUUGGGGAUUUAUGUUUCAACAUAUGAAAUUAUUUUUGGGGGGAGCACAAUUUACUCAUAAUGAACAGUCCAGUAAUGAUUAUGCUUUCAUACCAGCAACAGAAUUUUUGAAAGCUUGCUAUUUGCCAGUCAUUUUAUAAACAUGUUGCAGACUUUAACUCAAUUAAUUCUCCUAAUGUCCCUGUCACAUAGACAUUAUACACUCUAUUUUAGAUCUAAGGACACUAAGCUUCAAGAGUUAAGUAAUUUGCCUAAGGUGCUGUAGCUAAUAAGCAGAAGAGUCUGGAUUUGAAUCUAAGUAUUACUCCAAGGCCCUGGUUCUUAACCACUAUGCUUUGCUUUCUUUUAGGGCACACAUGAAAGGCAAAACUAAUGUCUCUAGAUUAUAUUCUUGGACCUGUGGGCAGAUAUUCCUAAAAUGCCUAGCCUUGAAGCUUAACGGCAUACAGAGUUUUACUUCUUAGCAACUCACAAAUUUUCCCAUGUCAGAAAACAGAAAAAUAUUAGAGUAUAAUUCAUUACUCAUAUGAAAUAAACAUCUUUCAUUUUGUCUCUCUCACUCAAACUCUUACUUUAUCUAUAUUUACAUAACUUUCCUUAUGAUAUUCUUAACAUAAGCAAAAAUUGAGAAUUUUAUAUAAAUGAAGUGUCAAAUAGCAUAAUGAUCCAGCAUAUGUGGAGUAAAGUUUGCUUUAUUUCUAAAUUAUCAGUUAUAUGUGGAUAGCGGGCCAAAGAUAACUCUCAUCAUUUUGGGAGUUAAUUUAUUCAUCAGUCAAAUAAAAGCAUUCAUUUAGGCAUCAGUAGAAAUAGUUAGACAUUGAUUUUUCAUGGGCCCAUUUAUGUCAAGGAUAAUCAAUGAUUAUAAAUACAUUAUGACAGAAAUGCCUCCUAUCUUGAAUAAUAAAUUAGACUAACACUUGACAUCUAAAAUUUAGUUUUUAAGUAUCUUAUGACAGCAGGAGUCUUCUGUGUAAAAUAAAUAGUUAAUAUAUGAGGCGAAACCGACAUAGUAGUAUGCAGUGUGGAUUCUAACGUUGAUACGCCAGUUUGGGCACUGUAGUGUGAUUUCUACACAGUUCAUAUUUUCAUAUGCAUCUUGAGCUACUGUUGGUCAAAUGAGGAUGGGCCUAAAGGGCCAGAUUCAUUGGGGUUUGUCUUAUAGAAUUGGUCUGAUUUUAAAUAUAAAUAUUUAUUCAUUAUUAUUCUUGCUCAAAGAAUUUCUUUCAAUAUGUGACUAAAAUGUUAAACAUUAUGUUCAUGAAGACAGAAAAAGAGGUAAAAAUAAAAGUAAAAAUUGCUGUCAGGCAUCAGAGUAUUUAAAGAAUACUCCACUAUCAAAGCUCUUUACUCAGCUUGUUUUGUAGACUAAUGAUAAUCUAGAGAUUCGACUUGUUCACGGAAAGUACGGCUUCUGGUGCGCCAAUAAUGAAAACAGGAGCUUGAGACAAGGACUAAGAGGUGAUCUGGGUGGUGAUCUCAGGAAGCAAGAAUGAGGAAUUGAGAAGAGGAAAACAGAGAAGUUAGCAAAGACAAUAAGGGUGUGUAAUUUGUUUGUCACUGCAGAUCCUGGAAACUGAGUCCUACCAAGGAACCUCUGAGGCACCAUGUAGAGAAUUCCUUAGUUUCCCCUCUGAAGGAUUGCAGAAUGUGGGUAGUAUUUUUCUGUCAACAAUCAUGCCCCAUUAAUUGAGGGUUGUCCCCAGGGGCAUUAAAUUCCUCUCAAUUCUGGUCUGUGCCUGGUUGCUGGAAGAGGAGACUUUCCAGUUCCUAGACAAAGCCCUGGGCAGAAAAACAGGUGAGCUUCAAGGGGAUGACAUCAGCGGCCAGUGCAAGAAACCAUCCACCAUGGCUCCUCUGAGAUCAGUGUUGGGAUAUAAUACAGAGCAUCAAAAAUAUCUGCAACAAAUAGAGUAUUUGCUUUUUCAUUUGUAAAGUGUAGGAUUUCUUUCUGAGGGUAAAGUUCUUCCUGAUGAGCAUGGUCCUUCUCAGUGAGGCACAGAGCACUGCUGAGUAGGAGCAUUUGUCCAGUCUUCUAAUGAAAGAUGAGAAUGCAAUUUUAUCUUUCUCCAGCCAUGGUGCCAUCUGGAUCUGGGAUUAAUGACUGUAGAGAUGAAACUUUAAAGCAUUAAUCCCAGUGCAAUGGCAAAUGCACAAAUAUAAACAUAUGUGCAAAUGGGGGUUAAAGACUAUUUAAUGAUUUUAAGAAACCUGGAGGGAGUAUAUUCAGUGUGGCCUUGUGAGCAGAUAAAAUAGGUGACCAUUUACAACCUAUGUAUUUGGAGAGCGGCCAUGCCUGGAGAAGAAACACCAUUCCAGCACUUUUCUCAUCUUUAAAUCAGGGGAACUUCAUUACAAUAACAUUUUUAAUGACCUUAAUUGACACACAAUAAACUGCAUAUCUUUAGACUGUACAAAUUGCUAAAUUUGAUAUGAAUACACCUGUGAAAGCACCACCACAAUCAAGAUAAUGAAUGAAUCAAUAACAUCCAAAAGUUUCUUUAUGCCUCUUUGUAAUCCCUUGUCUGCCCUAAUGUCUUCCCAGGAAACCACUGAUCUGCUUUCUAUCACUGUAGAUUAGUUUAUAUUCUAGACAAUGUAUAUGAAUAGGCUCAGAUAGUAUAUAAUCAUGUUUUAUCUUUUCUUACACUCAGCAUAAUUAUUUAGAGAUUAUGUUGUUACAUGUAUCAAUAGUUUUUACUUUUUAUAUCUGUAUUUUCCAUUGUAACAAUAUGCUACAAUUCGUUUAUUCAUUAAUCUAUUUAUGUACAUUUGGAUCUUUUCCAGUUUCUGGCAAUGACAGUAAAACUGCUUUGAAGAAUUAUAUACAAGUCUUUGUAUGGACAUACGUUUUCUGUUCUCUUGGCUAAAACAGAAAUGGCUGAGUGAUAUGGUACGUGUAUGUUUAACUUUUUAAGAAACUGACAGACUGCUUCCAAAGUGGUUACAUCAUUAUACAUUCCCACCAGCACUGUAUAAGAGUUCCAGAUGCUCCAGUCAUUGCCGACAGUUUGCGUGGUCAGUGAUUUGACUGUUAGUGGGUAUGUAGUGUUAUCUCAGUGUGAUUUUAAUUUGCAAUUUCCUGAAGACUGAUGAUUGGGAGUAUGUUUUAAUGUGUUUAUUUGCCAUUUGUAUAUGUUAUUUACAGAAGUGUCUAUUCAAGCCUUUUGCCUGUUGUCUCACUGUGUUGCUGGUUUAUUAUUGAGUUUUGAGAGUGCUUUAUAUCAGUCCUGUGUAAGUAACUGAUUCGCAAAUAUUUUCCUUCCAGCUAUGCUUUGACUUUUCUUUCUCUUAAUAGUGACUUAUUAAAAGCAGAAGUUCUUCAAUUUGAUGAAAUCCUACCUUUUGUCUUAUGAAUUAUGCUCAUC